UAGGUUUAGUAAUAAUUUACAAUUCAUUUACAAUGAAUAGGAUUACGUAUGUAAAACCUAA
rnacentral:tRNA from 1 species